rnacentral:tRNA from 1 species
GACCAGAUAUCCUAGUGUUUAAAGGCAGCACAUCUAAUGCCAAGGUCCUGGGUUCAAAUCCCAGUCUGGUCA